AGGCUUAACACAUGCAAGUCGAGGGGCAGCAUGGUCUUAGCUUGCUAAGGCCGAUGGCGACCGGCGCACGGGUGAGUAACACGUAUCCAACCUGCCGUCUACUCUUGGACAGCCUUCUGAAAGGAAGAUUAAUACAAGAUGGCAUCAUGAGUCCGCAUGUUCACAUGAUUAAAGGUAUUCCGGUAGACGAUGGGGAUGCGUUCCAUUAGAUAGUAGGCGGGGUAACGGCCCACCUAGUCUUCGAUGGAUAGGGGUUCUGAGAGGAAGGUCCCCCACAUUGGAACUGAGACACGGUCCAAACUCCUACGGGAGGCAGCAGUGAGGAAUAUUGGUCAAUGGGCGCAGGCCUGAACCAGCCAAGUAGCGUGAAGGAUGACUGCCCUAUGGGUUGUAAACUUCUUUUAUAAAGGAAUAAAGUCGGGUAUGGAUACCCGUUUGCAUGUACUUUAUGAAUAAGGAUCGGCUAACUCCGUGCCAGCAGCCGCGGUAAUACGGAGGAUCCGAGCGUUAUCCGGAUUUAUUGGGUUUAAAGGGAGCGUAGAUGGAUGUUUAAGUCAGUUGUGAAAGUUUGCGGCUCAACCGUAAAAUUGCAGUUGAUACUGGAUAUCUUGAGUGCAGUUGAGGCAGGCGGAAUUCGUGGUGUAGCGGUGAAAUGCUUAGAUAUCACGAAGAACUCCGAUUGCGAAGGCAGCCUGCUAAGCUGCAACUGACAUUGAGGCUCGAAAGUGUGGGUAUCAAACAGGAUUAGAUACCCUGGUAGUCCACACGGUAAACGAUGAAUACUCGCUGUUUGCGAUAUACGGCAAGCGGCCAAGCGAAAGCGUUAAGUAUUCCACCUGGGGAGUACGCCGGCAACGGUGAAACUCAAAGGAAUUGACGGGGGCCCGCACAAGCGGAGGAACAUGUGGUUUAAUUCGAUGAUACGCGAGGAACCUUACCCGGGCUUAAAUUGCAGAUGAAUUACGGUGAAAGCCGUAAGCCGCAAGGCAUCUGUGAAGGUGCUGCAUGGUUGUCGUCAGCUCGUGCCGUGAGAUGUCGGCUUAAGUGCCAUAACGAGCGCAACCCUUGUUGUCAGUUACUAACAGGUUCCGCUGAGGACUCUGACAAGACUGCCAUCGUAAGAUGUGAGGAAGGUGGGGAUGACGUCAAAUCAGCACGGCCCUUACGUCCGGGGCUACACACGUGUUACAAUGGGGGGUACAGAGGGCCGCUACCACGCGAGUGGAUGCCAAUCCCAAAAACCUCUCUCAGUUCGGACUGGAGUCUGCAACCCGACUCCACGAAGCUGGAUUCGCUAGUAAUCGCGCAUCAGCCACGGCGCGGUGAAUACGUUCCCGGGCCUUGUACACACCGCCCGUCAAGCCAUGGGAGCCGGGGGUACCUGAAGUGCGUAACCGCGAGGAGCGCCCUAGGGUAAAACUGGUGACAGGGGCUAAGUAGU
rnacentral:rRNA from 1 species